ACUCCCCUUCCACCCCACCCGCCACCCACACUCCGCUCCGCAGCCGGGCCCCGAGCGAGCUCCGCGCGCCCGGGCGGGAGCCGAGGGCUCCCCGGGUUCAAAGGGCCGCAGCCCCGAGGGAAUGCCCUCCUCGCUGUGCCCCGAGGGGCAGAAGCGGACCGCAGGGCGGUGGGACCGGCCCGGGCCACGAUGGUGUUCAGUGACAAGACCCAAACUAUUUGCAAAACUCCAGGACAUGCGUCUUUCUGCGGAGAAAAACAGACAUUAUCAAAAGCCUGGAAGGAAUCUUUGACUUUCUCCCAUUUGAACAAACAACAGCUUCAAAGUUGUCGACAGUGUACUAAACAAUGAUACGAGGAUAUCCCCAGAAAGGAAAAUACGCCACGACGAAGUUGUUUCCUGUAUGUGAAUGCUGAGAUUUAAGGAAAUAUCGUGGCUCCCCUUUAACUCACAAAUAAAUUCUUUUUUUUUUUUUUGAACAAUUGCUCCCUUUGAGAUUUGCAAAUAGUUCUACUAGUUUACACAGUUCUUUUUUCCUCCUUCCUUUUAAGUGUACCUCUUAAGUAAGCAGACACUUUAACUUGCCUUCUUAUUAGACAGCUUUUUCUUUAUUGCCUUUUCAUAGCACAGCUAUCAAAAAUAAGAUAAUACGCAAGAUCUGGGACCUAAUCAGCUUUCUAGCUGAGUUUAAAGAGUCUAGAGGCUGUUUAAAGGUAGCUCUGGUUAUGUGUGCGGGCUUUACUGCCUUGUUUGCUCGGCCACAUUUUGAUGGAGAGGGUAAUGUGUUUGCUAGAUAAGGCAAAAGGGACCAGCCAAAAAAGCAAGGCUCUGUUUGAUAAACCCUGACAUAUUUAGCCAUUUUUCUCCCACAUGAAAGGAAGCUUUAAAACUCUAAGAAAAAUAGAGGUGUCAGUUCAAGCACACUAAUGUUGAUCAAGACAAAAAAAAAAAAAGAAGUAAAUAAAGAAAAUGGGCAUCUUUUAGUCUAUUAAAUUAAUUAGCUCCAGAGCUUAUCAUGCAGUUGAAAAGCUGGAUAAAAUACAAGUCUGUUUCUCGUUGUUGUCAUUUGAUGUGAAGGGUGAGUUCUUUAAGUCAGUGUACGUUGAAAAGACAGUUAUUCUGUUCAGCUUGACUUGCCCUGGUAGAAGGUUUGAACCCUGUAUGAAGGAGCUCAUUAAGCAAAGUUAAACUCUUAUAAGGCCGAUCAGCAUGGACUUGGGAUGAGAACUCAGUCUGAAAUUAGGGUUGAACACACAUGAUGACAGUCUUUGUUAAGUGGCCUAUAGCCUGAAAACAGAUUUAAAAAGCCAGAAUCAAAAUAUGUCACCGGACAUCUACCGGUAACUAGAGGUCCAUAGAUAGCUUUACAAUCUGGAGUGAUGUAAAAAUGUUGGAGGUGAAUUAUUGAUUAUCUUAUAAUAAUUUUCCUUUUCUAGAAAAAGUAAAGGAAUAAAAUAUCAGAAAGCUUCACAAAAUAGAGCUGUCUCUCAAAAUGAGACUUGAACUGGUAUAGGUAUAAAAAUAAUUUGGGGCUCAAUUUUUAUACCAUGAUCACUUUCAGUUAAUGUAGAAGGAAAUAUCAACCCUAAAUCAAUAUCCUAGUAAAAUUUUCUUUUUUUUUUUUCUCUAGAAAAGACACUUUUCAGGGCGCCUCGGUGGCUCAGUCGGUUAAGCAUCUGACUUCAGCUCCGGUCAUGAUGUCACAGUUCGUGGGUUCGAGCCCUGUGUUGGGCUCUGUGCUGACAGCUCCGAGUCUGGAGGCUGCUUGGGAUUCUGUGUCUCCCUCUCUCUCUGCCCCUCCCCUGCUUGUGCGUGCGCUCUCUCUCUCUCUCUCUCUCUCUCAAAAGUAAAUAAACAUUUUAAAAAAUUAAAAAAAAAGAAAAGAUAUUUUUCUGAUUUCUUGUUUUCCUAAAUCACAAGUAUUUUUAUUAUUUUAUUUUAUUUUAAGAUUUUAUUUUUUUAAGUAAUCUCUACACCUGAGGCAGAGCUCAGACUCACAAUUCAGAGAUCACGAGUCAUAUGCUACACUGACUGAACCAGCCAGGUGCUCUGAGAGUGGGGUUUUUUUCUUGUUUGUUUUUUAAGAUUUUAUUUUUAGGUAAUCUCUCCACCCAACCUGGUGCUUGAACUCACAACUUGGAAAGAAAGAGUCGCAUGCUCUGCUGACUGAAUCAGCCAGGCGCCCCUAUAGAACGUUAUAAAAUAUAAUCACUUGAAUUUUUAGAACUGUGUUUCUUCUAUAUAUUAAUCAUUUUAAACAUUUUUUAUGGCUUAGUGUUAAUAAUCUCUAUGAGUGUAGAUUUUUAGAUGAAUUUAAUGUCAACUAGGGAUUAAUGUGAAUUAAUUAAAUUGACUGUAUCUUCUUUAAUGAGAAAAAAAGGAUUUAGUUUUAAUACUGAUGAUCUUAAUAAAGCUUCCCUCUACUUAUCUGUAUUUUCUCAACAUUAGGAAUUAUUUUUAUUAGAAGGUGAAUUAAUUUAAUAACGGCAGAGUGGGAAAACUUGAAAUAAAUCAAGUGAUUGCAAACUGACUUUGCUAUUGUUCUUGAGGCUGUGUAAUCAAACCGGAUAACUUUCAAUUAGGAAAGACCCAAUUUGUUGAAGCCACUUAAAAAUAAAAACAUAAAUUGGA